rnacentral:rRNA from 1 species
AACGAACGCUGGCGGCAUGCCUAACACAUGCAAGUCGAACGAGACCUUCGGGUCUAGUGGCGCACGGGUGCGUAACGCGUGGGAACCUGCCCUUAGGUUCGGAAUAACUCCCCGAAAGGGGUGCUAAUACCGGAUAAUGUCUUCGGACCAAAGAUUUAUCGCCUUUGGAUGGGCCCGCGUUGCAUUAGCUAGUUGGUAGGGUAAAAGCCUACCAAGGCGACGAUCCAUAGCUGGGCUGAGAGGAUGAUCAGCCACACUGGGACUGAGACACGGCCCAGACUCCUACGGGAGGCAGCAGUGGGGAAUAUUGGACAAUGGGCGAAAGCCUGAGCCAGCCAUGCCGCGUGAGUGAUGAAGGCCUUAGGGUUGUAAAGCUCUUUUACCCGGGAUGAUAAUGACAGUACCGGGAGAAUAAGCCCCGGCUAACUCCGU